ACCUGGGUAGCUCAGUUGGUUAAGCAUCCGACUUCAACUCGGGUCAUGAUCUCCCCAUUUGUGAGCUCGAGCCCCACUUCAGGCU
rnacentral:tRNA from 1 species